rnacentral:lncRNA from 1 species
CAUGUUGUUGCUUCAGUUUGCGAAUAACUAUGCAUCAUGAAACCCUAUUUAAACUUUUAAAUUAUUUGUGAAAUAUUUGAGGAAAAUAAAAACAUAAUUUGUAGGAAAAUAAAAACAUAAAAACAAAGAAAGAAAAAGAAGAUUCCUCAUGUAUUUUUUUUUGUGUCCUCUCGUGCUCCCUUCAUUCUCUUGAUGAGGUGGAUGGAGCCUGUCUUCUCCCCUUUUCUAUGAAAGGAAAAGAAAAAAGAAGAUAUUG